CGGGGUGUAGCGUAGCCUGGUAGCGCGCCUGCUUUGGGAGCAGGAUGUCGGUGGUUCAAAUCCUCCCACCCCGACCA
rnacentral:tRNA from 1 species